rnacentral:rRNA from 1 species
GUGGGGAAUAUUGGACAAUGGGCGAAAGCCUGAUCCAGCCAUGCCGCGUGUGUGAAGAAGGUCUUCGGAUUGUAAAGCACUUUAAGUUGGGAGGAAGGGCAGUAAGUUAAUACCUUGCUGUUUUGACGUUACCGACAGAAUAAGCACCGGCUAACUUCGUGCCAGCAGCCGCGGUAAUACGAAGGGUGCAAGCGUUAAUCGGAUUUACUGGGCGUAAAGCGCGCUUAGGUGGUUUUGUAAGUUGGAGGUGAAAUCCCCGGGCUCAACCUGGGAACUGCCUCCAAAACUGCAUGACUCGAGUACGGUAGAGGGUAGGGGAAUUUCCUGUGUAGCGGUGAAAUGCGUAGAUAUAGGAAGGAACACCAGUGGCGAAGGCGACUACCUGGACUGAUACUGACACUGAGGUGCGAAAGCGUGAGGAGCAAACAGGAUUAGAAACCCUUGUAGUCC